rnacentral:piRNA from 1 species
GCACUGAUGCGGAGGCCAUGGAG